GAUGAACGCUGGCGGCGUGCUUAACACAUGCAAGUCGAACGGAAAGGCCCAAGCUUGCUUGGGUACUCGAGUGGCGAACGGGUGAGUAACACGUGGGUGAUCUGCCCUGCACUUCGGGAUAAGCCUGGGAAACUGGGUCUAAUACCGGAUAGGACGAUGGUUUGGAUGCCAUUGUGGAAAGUUUUUUCGGUGUGGGAUGAGCUCGCGGCCUAUCAGCUUGUUGGUGGGGUAAUGGCCUACCAAGGCGUCGACGGGUAGCCGGCCUGAGAGGGUGUACGGCGACAUUGGGCCUGAGAUACGGCCCAGACUCCUACGGGAGGCAGCAGUGGGGAAUAUUGCACAAUGGGCGCAAGCCUGAUGCAGCGACGCGGCGUGGGGGAUGACGGCCUUCGGGGUGUAAACUCCUUUCGCUAGGGACGAAGCGUUUUUGUGACGGUACCUGGAGAAGAAGCACCGGCUAACUACGUG
rnacentral:rRNA from 1 species